rnacentral:lncRNA from 10 species
AGAAAAAAAGAACAUCAAUUAAUAGUAUAGGUGAUAUAAAUAUUUAUGUGUCUAUUGACAUCUACCCAUGCAUGUUUUUAGAGGAUUUGAAAGAGAGGACUAAACAUUUAAAUGAUUAACAUGUAAUCACAGCCCUUGUUAUCUAUCUAUCUAUCUAUCUAUCUAUCUAUCUAUCUAUGAUAGGAGAUGCAUCAAAAGAGGGACCUAUGUAGAAAAACAUAUGGAGUGGCUAAGGAUGACCUUAGUGUCAGGGAAUAAAUAUUUUUCACUAUAUCUAAAUGUGAGAAUAUAGCAUAAUAAAAUGAGCAUUAUUUACAAUAUAUUGACUUUAAAAUAAAUAUUAAAUAAUAUCAAUUUGAAAUGAAUAGUCAAUAUUAAUAUUUCUUCUAUAAAUCUGUCAGUAAUGGAGUACCAAAUGUCAGAAAAGAAAUGCAAUAAAGACACAGGGCCCAGAAAUAAAAAUGUGAAAAGAAAGAAAGAG